GCAGCCGCGGUAAUACGUAGGUGGCAAGCGUUGUCCGGAUUUACUGGGUGUAAAGGGCGUGUAGCCGGGUUCUUAAGUCAGAUGUGAAAUCCACGGGCUCAACUCGUGAACUGCAUUUGAAACUGAGGAUCUUGAGUGCCGGAGAGGUCAUCGGAAUUCCUAGUGUAGCGGUGAAAUGCGUAGAUAUUAGGAAGAACACCAGUGGCGAAGGCGGAUGACUGGACGGUAACUGACGGUGAGGCGCGAAAGCGUGGGGAGCAAACAGGAUUAGAUACCCC
rnacentral:rRNA from 1 species